rnacentral:misc_RNA from 1 species
CUCUCUCUCUCUCUCUCUCUCUCGUUUUUCUGUUUUCCUUGGAUAUUGGAGGGGGCAUGGGAUCCUUGUAUACUUUUUCAAGUUUUGGCCUGUAUUAUACUUAGGAUUGUUAUUUGUUGUUGGGUUUACAUCUGAGUUCUGAAGGAUUUUGAAGACAUGGAUGACGAAUAUGCUAAGCUUAUUAGAAGGAUGAACCCACCAAGAGUUGUGAUUGACAAUGAUGCUUGUGAAGAUGCCACUGUUAUCCAGGUUGACAGUGUCAACAAGCAUGGAAUACUUCUUGAAGUCGUACAAGUGCUUACUGACAUGAACCUGGUAAUAACAAAAGCAUAUAUAUCAUCUGAUGGAGUAUGGUUUAUGGAUGUGUUUAAUGUGAUCGACCAAGAUGGUAAAAAAAUCAGGGACAGGGAAGUCAUCGGAUAUAUUCAAAGAGUAAGGACUCAUCUACUGCUAUUGCUUUUCAUCCUUUUCAAUUAAUCAUUUGAUUUCUGAGAUAUUAGAGUGAAGGAACAAAGAACAGGAUUAGGAUUCCUUCUAUCGACUUCUGUCUGCUAUUCUGUUGAGCUACAUAGUUCAUCAAGCUCAGUCUUAUCUUUCGCAGCAAAUACAAACAAUUAACCUGAGCAUGUGUUAUCAUGUUACAUUUCUUUGUCCCCUUUAACCCCAACUUGGUCCAUUUUUUCUUAAUGAAUACGUUAUCAAUCAAAGCAGAAUUCAAGCAAUAUCCUUGGGAGGGCUUAAACUGUUAAGUUGCAAUGCUAUAUUUUGGCCAAAAACUGACAACCUUUACUAUUUUCCUCUUAAUAGGGUAUUUUCCUACACAUGUUUUAAUGGAAGGUAAAGUUGAAAAGUCAUUUACUAAAUUUUUUAAAUUCUUUUCCAUUUCUUUUCAAGUAAUGAUCAUCUUACAAAAUGCCAAUUUCAAUACCACACACGACAGUUCUUCAUUCAUCUAUUGCUAUAGUCCAUUUUCUAAUGAACUUUGUUGACUCAGUCUAUUCCUGUUAAUGCUGUAUCCUGCAGAGACUGGAAAGCAAUGCGAGCUGUUUUCUCUCAUUAAGAGGAUCGGUAGGGGUGAUGCCUUCUGAAGAGCAUACCUCAAUUGAACUCACUGGUACUGAUAGGCCGGGCUUAUUGUCUGAAGUAUGUGCAGUUCUGACUGACCUUCAUUGCAAUGUGGUAAAUGCUGAGAUAUGGACCCAUAAUGCUAGGGCUGCAGCUGUAGUUCAUGUCACAGAUGAUUCUACUGGGUGUGCAAUUGAAGAUCCAAAGAGACUCACAACGAUAAAGGAAUUGCUUUGCAUUGUUCUCAAAGGAAAUAAUGAUUUGAAGGCAGCAAAAAUGACUCUUUCAACUCCUGGGAUAACUAGUAGGGAGAGAAGAUUGCAUCAGAUCAUGUUUGCUGAUAGGGACUAUGAAAGGAUUGAAAGGGCUGGAUUAGUGAGGCAUAAGGAUGAGAGCACAAGACCCCAUGUUACUGUAUUGAACAUUGAGAAAGAUUACUCUGUGAUUACUAUGAGGGCCAAGGAUCGCCCUAAACUGUUGUUUGACAUUGUUUGCACUUUAACAGACAUGGAGUAUGUAGUGUUUCAUGGAAUGGUCAACACAGGAAGGAUGGAAGCUUAUCAGGUAAGAUAGUUUUAGUUAAAAUGCAGCUAUUUGUGACAAUCAACUCCAGAAAUAUCCUCUGAAAUUCCUUGCACCAGCUUAAAUACUGCGGAUGUUUAUUGGUAAACUGAGCGCGCUGAAAAAAUUCCUAUUCACUUCUUCCGGAGGGGCAUAAUAAUCAUUAGUUGUACUCCCACACCAUCCUUUUUCUUCAUCUCAGGAUGGAAUUUUUCACCUUGAUUGAUCACAAUUUUAUAUGGUCAAUUUUUGCACUUUGAGUUGGCAUUAUUUGUCUUAACUGUUUUUUUAUCUUUCAUUAAACAGAAAGAUUCCAUUUGAUUGUAGGAAUUCUACAUUCGACAUAUCGAUGGACUCCCUAUAAGCUCAGAUGCUGAGCAAGAGCGUGUCAUUCAGUGUCUUGAAGCUGCCAUUGAAAGGCGAGCAUCUGAGGUGUGCACUAUGCAUUGAAUCUUCUAUUUAAUUUGCAAGUGUCUACCAAAGUUGGCACUGUGUAUUUACAUAUGAUACUUGGUCAUGCAAGGGCCUUGAGCUAGAAUUAUGCACGGAGGAUAGAGUUGGACUUCUUUCGGACAUUACCAGGAUAUUCAGAGAAAACAGUUUAUGUAUCAGGAGAGCAGAAAUCUCAACAAAAGGCGGUAAAGCCAAAGACACAUUCUAUGUCACAGACGUGACUGGUAACCCAGUUGAUCCCAAGAUUAUCGACUCGAUUCGCCAACAGAUUGGGCAAACCAAGUUGCAGGUGAAACACAACUCAACUCUUUCACCAAAGCCUCCACAAGAAACAACCAUGGGAUAUCUAUUUGGGAACCUCUUCAGAGCUCGAACUUUCAAGUUGAUCAGAUCCUACUCAUAAAUUUGUGUGUAAAUUCUCAUCAGAGUAUAUCUGUAAAGAAACAUUUGAUGUAUAUAAACUCCAAAAGAAAACAUAGGAAUCAAGAAACAAGGUGAAAGGCAUUACUUUCACCACUCUACCCUCUGCAGCAGGGAGGAUUAGUGUUAAUGUCAUGAUACUUGUACUGAUUUAGCCCAAGAUCCACUAGAUAAGUAAACACUAGGAGGACUGUGAUUGCACACUGUUUGUACAGAAGCUAUUAGUUUGUAUAGAUAAUUUGAUCAAUGAAAAAAAGUUAGUGUAAAUAUGAAAUAUUACAGUGUGUUAUUUAUCAUGUUCUAAUUGUGCAAUUCAUAUCUUUUAAAAGAAAAUUUCUGGAAUUAAUCUCUGAGAUGCAAUGUUAUAGCUAGAAGAAUUUUGAAACUCUCCAAUUUAGUCAGACCAUUUUAACCGG